AGCAGCCGCGGUAAUUCCAGCUCCAAUAGCGUAUAUUAAAGUUGUUGCAGUUAAAAGCUCGUAGUUGAAUUUCGGGGUUAGUAGGUUGGUCAUGCCUCUGGUAUGUACUGGUCUCACUGAUUCCUCCUUCCUGAUGAACCUUAAUGCCAUUAAUUUGGUGUUUUGGGGAAUUUGGACUGUUACUUUGAAAAAUUAGAGUGUUUAAAGCAAGCUAACGCUUGAAUACAUUAGCAUGGAAUAAUGAAAUAGGACGUUCGAUCCUAUUUUGUUGGUUUCUAGGAUUGACGUAAUGAUUAAUAGGGAUAGUUGGGGGGCAUUAGUAUUCAAUUGUCAGAGGUGAAAUUCUUGGAUUUAUUGAAGACUAACUACUGCGAAAGCAUUUGCCAAGGAUGUUUUCAUUAAUCAAGAACGAAAGUUAGGGAUCGAAGACGAUCAGAUACCGUCGUAGUCUUAACCAUAAACUAUGCCGACUAGGGAUCGGAUGAUGUUAAUUUUUAAUGUACUCAUUCGGCGCCUUACG
rnacentral:misc_RNA from 1 species